GCACCUCCCUUUGUUACACUAAUAAUUCUAUCUCUCUCUUUCUUUAAUUUAUUGUUGAAGUAGGGAGAGAAGGCAGUACAGGGUGGAGGAAAAAAGUGUAGGUACUGUGUUGUUGAUACCUUCGUAAACUUAAUAAUAUAACAUUGCAUAAAAACCUCAGAAACAAUGCUCUAACAAAUAAACAAUAGUAGACGGUAACAACUGACGAAUCCAAUCUGUAGUUUACUAUGGAAAUAUAUAGUAUUUUAAUUAUGGAGUAAGAAAUUUGUAUAUUAUGUGGAUAGGAAAUUGAUUAUUUAAAGAGUGGUGAAAAAUCUGAAGUUUAAUAGUUUGAACCAUAGAUAGUAAACAUAACACAGCAACACUUUCAAUAACAAACAUACACUGACAUACAUAACCUGAACCUGACUCUUGAUACAUAUGAAAAUUAACAAUAUUAUUCAACGAUAUAAUUAGGAAUCUUUUGUAAGUUUGAAAAUAUUAUAAGAAAUGUAUAUAUUCAUCCUUUCCAAGUGUGUAUAAGAAUUUAAGGUUGGUGGAGUUAUAACAAUUUUAAUACUCAACAAUAAAAUAUGAAUUUACUUAAAAAUACUUAAUUUAUAUUGUGACAAAUCUUUCCUGGAGAUUAUUUGCAGUUCAAAUGUCUUAGGAUGUAUGUUGGCACAGAUCACACCCAAAAGUUCAAAAGUGAUUUAAUUAAGUCCAGUAGUUGUUUCAAAAUUUAUAUCGUUCAUAAAUCAAAUGAUUUCAAAGUGAGUUAAAAAUUAGAGAGUUUAAUAUCAAAUUAAAUUCUAUUUUAAAUAGAAUUACACGGCUUUAGUUCAGCGGGAGUACGAUUAUCUUAAAAGUAGGACUUCUGGGUGUCUAAGUAGAAUUACUUCUCUUUAUAUUAUGUUAUAUACACAAUCUAAUUGAAGUUCAGUUUUAUCAACUUUUGCAACAAUAUAGUUUGUUUGGCUAGAAAUCUCACGUAUUUAUAAGCAUGUAAGCAAAUUUAUACUGGCCGCUUAAGCCUUGAACAAUGGCGACACUGCUUAAUUAUGGCGUCCCUAGCUAAGCAAUUCUUAAAUUGGCUUAUACUUGACAUAACUGCUUUAAAUCCAAGUAAAUAUUACUUACAGUUCGUUAAGAUAUUUAGUUGUAACAAUUUCAUUAAUGUACACAACCGACGAUACCCUAAACUCAUAUUUUUAAUAAUUUUAAUUGUUCAGGCGUCAGGCCUUAGCCUACACGUAGUAACGCCAAAAAUCACACUUUUUUAAGUUACUUCCUGUUCCUGUGUGGCUGAGAUACGUGUAUACCCAAUAUAUAUGGUUCAUAACAUCCUUUCAUGGCCUUUGGUUACAACAAUACGGUAAGGAACUAGAAUAAAAUUAAUUGAAUUUACAAAUUAAACAGAUGGUCAGAAUAAAAAAAUAAACGGUAAAAAAAAAUUAACGAAAAUUACAACAAUGCAGAUGAAAGAAAAAAAAAUAUUAAUAUUAUUAAAGUUCCACAGAUGAAAAGUUUAUGGUUGUAAUAAGGCGAAAUAUUUACUAAACAUUCAUAGCAGAUAUCUUAAUAAACACGAAGAUGUCUGUGCUAUCACCAUGUAAUAGUACAGAUGCUGUCCCAUGGGAUAAUCAUAAAACGAAGCGAGCACAAAGCAUAAGAUCGCCGGUUUAUUAUUAACCCAUCUGUCUCUCUCACACACAGCAGGUGCGACCGUUACUCGAAGCGACGGUUGAGAAUUGGCAUGGAGGUGGGGGUUGGGUGGCGCGCUAAUCAGCGAUCAACCGGCGGCCGAGGCGUGGCGUGACUGUUCAGUCUCGUGUCAGCCGUCUCGCAGUAGACACCUCGCUGCUUCGCGCUCCGUAAAUGGCGCGAGAACUCCGUCGUCUCGUAGUCGUGCUGUUGAUAGGGUGUUGGGAUGGUGAAGAACAUCAAGCAGGAACAUAGCACUGCGUCGUGGUGUGCUGCCACACACCUGGGCAGGCGAUAACGAUACCUCCACGACACCGCAGGGGGGUGUCGGCUACUGAUCACGGCAACAGGAUGUACCGUGUCGGGUGACCUGCGCUCGUGAGAACUAGUGGCUGACAGUGGCGGGUCCUGACGAUGUCCGCUACAGUGCCGGGCUCGGCUCUCCAGGUGGCCCGUGGGCUGUCCCAGCCCUUGACCAGGGAUGGUAUCAACGGGGAAUAGACGGAGGUCUCAUGCUGACGCCGCUGUGUCAGCAUACGUGGCGUCAACCUAAUGUCUAGUAGGAGCAAGGCCAGCUCCGUCAUCGCACCGCUAAGUAUAUUUCCGUGUUCUACACUCGUGGUUAUUUCCGCACUAUGCACACGACAGGUGUGUAUCUAGUAUAUCGCGUUUCCAUAACUCACUUUAACAGUAAACAUAACAAUGUUCUGUGCUGACUGGUUGCUGCUUGAAGUCGCUCUCACAGUAGGAUUGGUGUAAAUAACCAGGAAAGAUUUAAUCACUUUUACGAAAAUUAAUUACUUAAUCAAAAAAAAAUUAUAUUCGUUACGAGAAAUAGCAAAUUGUUUAAAGAAAAUAAAUUCUAGUUGUCAUUAUUGACGUAUUAAUAAUAUACUAUACAUUGCAACAAUAAGAUAAAAUCUUAUUAAUUAUUCAACAUCAAAGUAAUGCUAUAAUUGUGGAUUAUCAUAGGAACACAAUAUUUACACAAUUGUACUGCUAGUUUACUUAUUGGUUGACUAGUCUGUCAGUGGUAUAACCUUAUAUUAGUUUUCUGGUUUUGUUUACAACUUGUAAUUACCAUAUCAAUAAUUAUCAGUGUUGAUUUACACCAUUUUUUUUUUUUUUUUUUGUAAUUAUCCUCAUUAGAUAUCAUGAUAAUGUAGCAUACAAUUGCUAUUCAGCCUAUUUUACUGCUACAUAACAGUAUUAUGAUUGGAAUUUUAUUCCACAAAAAAAAAUAUUAUUCAUAUUUACAAUGGUUUCAACACAGCAUUUAACCUGUGAUUUACUGAGUAAAUUAGUUGACUACUAAUGCAAUUAUCAGUAUUAUUACAAUUUCUUACAACAUAUUAAGAGAUUAUUAAAUAACAUAACACAAGAAAAAUAUUUACACACAAGAUUAACCAGUUGAAAAAUUAUAUACAUAAUUAAAGUUAUACAUAAUUGAAUAUCAUCAUUUCUUAUGAUGCAACAGUCAUUAUUAUUUUACAGUUUGUUACACAUAUUUCAUAACCUUAUCAGUUCUUAUGAUAUCUUGACAGAUAUUAUUAUUAUCCAAGCCUAAAAUUAUUACAUAGUGUUCUACAGAUGAAUAAUAAUUCAGAUGCAGUCUUGGACAAUUUCAGUGUUUUUUCUUGAGUAUGGUGAGGUUUUCAGCUGGUGGUUUACAGUCUCUCACUAUCUUACUCUGGACACAGCUGCACAGUAGAUUACUUGCAGAAUGCUGUUGUCUUGUUAGGUAGGCUGUCAGCUACUGGCUGAUGCGGAGUCUCAUAUCAUUUCAAGAAUGUUCAUGAUCUUCCAGUCAGGUGUUACACCUAUUUACCCUGACAUAUAAAAAUUUCUUGCACUUUUAUACAUUUGUCACAAUUCUGUUACAGUGACUUCCUUCAACAACUGGGCAGCAUAAGAGCGGACUUUCUCUCGCAACACCAGUGUUCCUUGCUACUGUGGAUAACAACUCAGAAGACAAUCACAUCAUCAUGUGCUGCUGAACAACAGUGACGUCACUCGCGUGACAGUGUGAUCCUCAAGAUGACAGUGCUUCGAAUUAUGUGUUACACAUCAAAAUAAUAUUCGGAGUUCAUAAAAUUAAUUUGUGCCCAUAAUUUAUAAAAUCAAAUUCCAAAAUAAAUUAGUUCCAGUGCA